AGGAUCCCAGGGGAAUACUACAGCUGGGAUAUGCUAUUGGAGAAGGUGCAAAUAGCUUUGUUUGCAAGGGUCGCUACCUGGAAAACAAUGAGACAGUAGCCAUUAAAGUUAUGGAUGCUGAAAAGGCUAACAAUAAGGAAAUCAAAAAUGAGAUUAAACUCCUCCAAAAAUAUACUGAGCAUAAGAAUAUUGCAACAUUCCGUGGAGUAUAUUUAACACCUGUCCCGAAAGGAAGGGAGAAA